ACAGCCACAUCAUGGUAAAACACCUGUUCCCAUAUGAUCACCGAAGUUAAGUAACGUUGAGCUUGAUCAGCGCCUAGAUGGUUGACCGCUUGGGAAUACCAGGUGCUGUUA